rnacentral:misc_RNA from 1 species
GGACUUUUGGGAGCUCAAGUUACAACUCCUAAAGGAUCUUCUGCACCACCAGUGGCAUCUGUUGCACCUACGCCGAAUGUUCCAUAUGGUUCUAGCAAGCAAGGUGUACCAUGCAUUUUCUUCCAGCAAGGGUUUUGUUUAAAAGGUGAUAGGUGUCCAUUCUUCCAUGCACCAUUGUUUGGGUCUAACAAAGCUCCUCCACAUCCUGUAUCUACUGCAUCUGCAUCUACUGAGAAAACCAAUUUUAAGGCAUUUGGUGGGCUUGAAAAGUGCGUGCAAGAGAAAACAUUUUUUCAAACAAAUAUUUGGAAGUCUGGUGAAUUAUCUGUACAAGCACAACCAGUUGAGAAACUGAAAACUCCUUUGCCCAAGAAUAAUGCUGUCUUUAAUGGGAAUGUGCUGCCAUCCACUCCUGUCAUUGAUGUUGCGCAUAACAGGCACAAACCAAAAAGUGUGCCGCCUCCAAAUGGGAAUCCUGUCGGUAGAUCCAACAGAGUGCAACAGUCUGCUAGGUUUGAUGAUCACAGUAACUUUCAGAACAAAG